AAAGGGUUGGGGAAUUUCCACUUCUGAUUAAAAUGAUGGCAGAGGUGACGACCCUUAACGAUUGGUAAGAUUUGGAGUAGAAUUCACCCUGAGUUUGGUGGGGCUUAUCUGUCAAGGAUGCAAGAGGUACGGAGGUUACGAAGCUCCCACCUGUCGCUCUCCGCCAGACGCCGAGACUGCGGUCGGAGAGUUGCUGCACGGGGAUUGGAGGAAAGAAGCAAUCAGUCUCAGCUAGUCUCCACCUUCCUGACAGCCCCUGGUUGGAGGAGCGGAGCGUCAGUCACUAGAGCGGUCGCCACCUCUGGGACAGGAAAAGUCUGAGAAACUGUCACAGUCAAGAGGAGCCUAAGGAGACAUGAUGACAAAAUGUAAUAUAGUAUCCUGGAUGGAAUACUGGAACAGAAAAAGGACAUGAGGUAAAGAAGAUGGUAAUGGGUUCACUUUAUGUGGUUGGUUUCAGACUGCAAUGGAAAGAACUUAGAUAUGUACAACAUUAUAUGGUAAGUCCUCCAGAAACCCCCAAGAGAAACAUACACAACAGAAACACAGAUAAAUAUCUUUACUGUAACUGGAAACAAUUUUUUUGAAGAUUUUAUUUAUUUUUGAGAAGAGAGAACAUGAGCAGUGGGGAGGGGCAGAGGGAGAGGGAGAAGCAGACUCUCCACUGAGCAGGGAGCUCAGUGCUCCCAGGACCCUGGGAUCACGACCCCAGCCAAAGGCAGAUAUUCAACUGACUGAGCCACCCAGGCGGCCCUGGAAACAAAUUUUUAAAAGAUGUCAAGUCGUAGCUUUGGUUUUCGUAAAAGAAAACAUCUUGCUGCAGAAAGGUCAUGUGGUGAGCAAUGAAGAUUAAGCCACUUUUCCCCCAAAUGAGUCCUUGGUGAAUAUAUUUUGGGUAUUGCCUCCACAGAAAGAUGCAUACUGAAAAUAUACUUUUCUCCAACCCUCAGUAGUAAUUAAAAGGGAAGCCCAAGAAUCACACUGAUAAAUAAGUAUCAGCAAGUGUAUAGGCCGUCAGCCCAGAUACCUUGAUCCACAUGUAUAAGCUCAUUGAGAAUAACAGGGUUCUAAGAGCCUGCAAUCAAUCCUUUGAAGAAACUCGGAACUUUACCAUGUGCAUCACAAUGAAGCCCCUACCUCUCCUAUUCCACAGAUGUGGGAAACUUGAGACUAAAUACUCCAAACAUCCUGUUUCCUUAUGUCCUCUUAUACCCUGCAAGUUGGGCAGCCACACCUACCUUCUCUAGAACUCUCCUUGCAAGGUACAGGGCAUUCUGCCACAGACUCUAGAAGGUCCCAGGACUGGCAAAAGUUUAGAAUCUCAUUUUCUGAGCACUUUCCUGAUGAGAGAACAGUUAGAUAGAAAACCCCACAGCAAGACUCAACUUAUCUUCCAGGUGGUCCAACUCAUAGUGAAUGAGUACUUUUGAAUCAGAAGGACCCUUAAGGAGUCCUCUAGGUCUCAUACUACCCCUUUAAGAAAGAAGAAACUGGAGGACUGGGCAUUAGGGUCAAUACCUCCUGCAAAAAUCUCUAAGGUGAUGUUUCCAUCCAUCACCCUCUGAUGUUUCCUGUAAGAAUCAGAAGUACAUCAUUGCUUACCAAAGUGAGAAGAGAGCAAGCCCCAGAUUCCAACUCAAAGAGUAAUUUUGGCUUAUAAGUGAGAAAUGAGUCACUCUGAGGACUGUUCUUAGAGACUCUUGUGGAGUGUUUGAACUCAACUUUGUUUACCACACCCCUUGCUCAUCAAGGCAGGCCUAUAAAACAAGAGACGCAGCAUGGCGUUCACCUGCAGGGCAGGUAACAGUGCCACCUCCCAGAUGUUCUUCCCCAAGGAAGUGGCAUGGUAUUUGCUGUGGCUCCAAGAGGACACCUAUAGACAGUCUAGUUGAAACACGAGUCUGGUAUAAGCUCACAGAAGCUAAAAGAAAAAUUGUGGUCAAAACUCUACUCUGAAACUCUUCACCUAGAGGGACCUCUUAAACCCUGGCAUUGGCACCACUGGUGACAAGGAAGAAAAAAACAGCCAGGGUUGGACUUCUCCAGCAUAGAUCUAGUAGAUGAAAAAGGUUUGUCAUUUGAAGAGGAUUGCUUCACCAUUACAAGAGUUAUGUAGGACAAAAGUCUGAGAAAUGGGCAAGCUGGGGUUUGGUUAAAGCCCUAGUCUGUCCCAGUGCCUCUGCUCAUAAGCUGGCAGGGUUUUUAACCAAGAUUGAGCCAUAAAAGCGAGUCCAAAGAAAGGAGCAAUACUGUUCUGUGUACUAGGGGUUUCAUAUAAAUAUGAGAAUUCCUAGGGGCACCUGGGUGGCUCAGUCGUUAAGUGUCUGCCUUCAGCUCAGGUCAUGAUCCCAGGGUCCUGAGAUUGAGCCCUGCAUCGGGCUCCUUGCUUAGCGGGGAGCCUGCUUCUCCCUCUCCACUCCCCCUGCUUGUGUUCCCUCUCUCACUAUACUCUCUCUGUCAAAUAAAUAAAUUAAAAUCUUUAAAAAAAAUCAGAAUUCCUAGAGAGGGAUUCCCUCAAAAGCACUGGUGAGACCACUAUUCAGAGCCUGAUCAUCUCAUUCUCAACAAUUAUUUUCACAAAUUCCUUGUUGUACUCUCAUAUGCCAUUAGCAGGAGUGUAAAUUGAUAAAAUCUUUAGGGAAAUCAGUUUGGAGUUGCCUUCACAUUUUUAAAUGCAUUCACCCUUUGAUCUAGCAAAAUCCACUUCCAAUUCUGGGGGAAUUGGCACAGAGACACUCACACAUGAGUUCAAAAAUAGUGUAUGAAGGUGUUCACUUAAACCUUGCUUGUCCAUCAAUAAGUGGUUAAAUAAGUAGUGGUGCAACUAUAAAAUGCUAACCAUCAUCUCAGCUUUUAGCAAGUCAUCAUCUUUUUGCUGGUGGAGGGUCUUGCCUCAAUGUUGAUGUCUUCUGACUGAUCAGGGUGGUGGUUGCUGAAGACUGGGGUAGCUGCGGCCAUUUCUUAAAAUAAGACAACAAUGAAGUUUGCCUCAUUAAAGGACUCUUUUUCUCAUGAAUGAUUUUUCUGUAGCAUGUAAUGCUGUCAGACAGUAGAGCUUCUUUCAAAAUUGGAAAAAUCCAGGGGUGCCUGUCUGGCUCGGUAGAGCCCCAUGUUGGGUGGAGAGAUUAC